rnacentral:tRNA from 1 species
GCGUUGUUAGGCUAGCGGUAAACUGGGCCCUUGCCAUGUAGGAAUGAUAUGGGCUCGUCAGGGGUUCGACUCCCCUACAACGCA